AUGUCCUGCACCGGUGAGACCCCACUGAGCUCAGGUAACCUGUGCUGGGGAAGCUCAUUCGAGAACGCCGGAUUGGGCUGUCUUCUGAGGAACCAGAGGACGGAGACUCUCCUGCAAGUACUCAUAGGGAUGUUAGAGUUGCAGGCAGCCUGGGUCAGUAACCAAGAACUGGAGCAGAGUCCACGGUUCCUGAUCAUCCAAGAAGGAGAAGUCGUCACCAUAAACUGCAGUUCAUCAAAGCCUGUGUAUGCCUUACACUGGUACUGGCAAAAGAAGAGUGAAGGUCUAAUCUCCUUGAUGAUAUUACGGAAAAAUGGGGAAGCAAAGAGUCAUGAAGACAUCACUGCCAUGUUGGAUGAGAAAAAGCAGCAAAGUUCCCUGCGUAUCACAGCCUCCCAGUCCAGCCACUCGGGCACCUACCUCUGUGCAGCAGAUGCGCUGUGA